rnacentral:rRNA from 1 species
GUAUCAGAAGUGCGAAUGCUGACAUAAGUAACGAUAAAGCGGGUGAAAAGCCCGCUCGCCGGAAGACCAAGGGUUCCUGUCCAACGUUAAUCGGGGCAGGGUGAGUCGACCCCUAAGGCGAGGCCGAAAGGCGUAGUCGAUGGGAAACGGGUUAAUAUUCCCGUACUUGGUGUUACUGCGAAGGGGGGACGGAGAAGGCUAUGUUGGCCGGGCGACGGUUGUCCCGGUUUAAGCGUGUAGGUGUGUGUUCCAGGUAAAUCCGGUUCACUUUAACACUGAGGCGUGACGACGAGGCACUACGGUGCUGAAGCAACAAAUGCCCUGCUUCCAGGAAAAGCCUCUAAGCAUCAGGUAACAUCAAAUCGUACCCCAAACCGACACAGGUGGUCAGGUAGAGAAUACCAAGGCGCUUGAGAGAACUCGGGUGAAGGAACUAGGCAAAAUGGUGCCGUAACUUCGGGAGAAGGCACGCUGACAC